rnacentral:rRNA from 1 species
AUUGCCCUAGUAACGGCGAGUGAAGCGGCAACAGCUCAAAUUUGAAAUCUGGCUCUCGGGCCCGAGUUGUAAUUUGUAGAGGAUACUUUUGAUGCGGUGCCUUCCGAGUUCCCUGGAACGGGACGCCAUAGAGGGUGAGAGCCCCGUCUGGUUGGAUGCCAAAUCUCUGUAAAGUUCCUUCGACGAGUCGAGUAGUUUGGGAAUGCUGCUCUAAAUGGGAGGUAUAUGUCUUCUAAAGCUAAAUACCGGCCAGAGACCGAUAGCGCACAAGUAGAGUGAUCGAAAGAUGAAAAGCACUUUGAAAAGAGAGUUAAAAAGUACGUGAAAUUGUUGAAAGGGAAGCGUUUAUGACCAGACUUGGGCUUGGUUAAUCAUCUGGGGUUCUCCCCAGUGCACUUUUUCCAGUCCAGGCCAGCAUCAGUUUUCCCCGGGGGAUAAAGACUUCGGGAAUGUGGCUCUCUUCGGGGAGUGUUAUAGCCCGUUGUGUAAUACCCUGGGGGGGACUGAGGUUCGCGCAACUGCAAGGAUGCUGGCGUAAUGGUCAUCAACGACCCGUCUUGAAACACGGACCAAGGAGUCGUCUUCGUAUGCGAGUGUUCGGGUGUCAAACCCCUACGCGUAAUGAAAGUGAACGCAGGUGAGAGCUUCGGCGCAUCAUCGACCGAUCCUGAUGUUCUCGGAUGGAUUUGAGUAAGAGCAUACGGGGCCGGACCCGAAAGAAGGUGAACUAUGCCUGUAUAGGGUGAAGCCAGAGGAAACUCUGGUGGAGGCUCGCAGCGGUUCUGACGUGCAAAUCGAUCGUCAAAUAUGGGCAUGGGGGCGAAAGACUAAU